UACGGAGGGUGCGAGCGUUGUCCGGAAUCAUUGGGCGUAAAGGGCGCGUAGGUGGCCCGGUCAGUUUCGUGGUGAAAGCGCGGGGCUCAACCCUGCGUCGGCCAUGAAUACUGCCGCGGCUGGAGCACUGUAGAGGCAGGCGGAAUUCCGGGUGUAGCGGUGGAAUGCGUAGAGAUCCGGAAGAACACCGGUGGCGAAGGCGGGUC
rnacentral:rRNA from 1 species